AAUUUGCUGCGGGCAGAUGAAAUGGAUAUGGCUGUCAAAGCCGCCCGCUGUCAGAACAUGGCCUUCACCGGCAAUGGCCUCGGUACCGGGGCCGAUGACAAUAUCAACGCCCGGCUGGGUAUCCGGAUUGCCGGCUUUGCCGAUGCCGCAGAUGACACCGUCCCUCAGCCCGAUAUCCGCCUUGAAGAUGCCAGAGACAUCCACAACCAGCGCGUUGGUAAUAACCGUAUCGACAGCGCCGUCUUUGCGGCUGGCCUGCGACUGGCCCAUGCCGUCACG
rnacentral:sRNA from 1 species